rnacentral:rRNA from 1 species
UACAGACCAAGUUAUUAAGAGUUAUUGGUGGAUGCCUUGGCAUUGACAGGCGAUGAAGGAUGCGUUUACCUGCAGUAAUCUUCGGCGAGCUGGUAUAAAGCUAUGACCCGGAGGUCUCCGAAUGGGGCAACCCGAUAGAUUAAUCAUCUAUCAUUGUACGCUGAAUACAUAGGCGUAUAAGGCGAUACCUGCUGAACUGAAACAUCUUAGUAAGCAGAGGAAAAUAAAUCAAAGAGAUUCCCUGAGUAGCGGCGAGCGAAAGGGGAGAAGACCAAACCACAUUUUUAAUGUGGGGUUGUAGGGUCGAUAACAUGGGAUCUUAAGUUUUAGUCGAAUACUUCUGGAAAGUAGAACGAUACAGGGUGAUAGUCCCGUAGACGAAAAAACAAGAGACUCUAUUCGAUACCUGAGUAGGGCUAGACACGUGAAACCUAGUCUGAAUCUGGGGAGACCACUCUCCAAGUCUAAAUACUAGUCAAUGACCUAUAGUGAACCAGUACUGUGAAGGAAAGGUGAAAAGAACCCUUGUUAAGGGAGUGAAAUAGAACCUGAAACCAGUAGCUUAUAAGCGGUCGAAGACCUAUAACUUCUUCGGAAGUCAUGGUUGACGGCGUGCCUUUU